AUGGCCUAAUUUUGAGUGGAUUUCAAAUGUUGAGGAUGUUUUUUGAUUAAAGUUGUUAAUUUGAAAUUAAGGGGUUCUAAUACGGAGGAAUUUACUGUAUGUGGAUUCUGCUGCUGUGAAUCUGUUGUGGAAUUUGAAAUUCUAAAUUGAAACUAAACAUAAAUAAAUAAAAUAACUUCAAUCAAAUAGCAUCCUCAACAUUUUAAAUUCACUCAAAAUUAAUCCAU
rnacentral:pre_miRNA from 1 species